rnacentral:lncRNA from 1 species
ACUUCACAUGUUUUGUAUGACGAAUGAUGUUGUUGUUUAUUUUGGUGAUUAUGUUAUUGUUAUUAUGGUGAUUAUGUUAUUGUUAUUAUGAUGAUUCCAUUGUGAAUAUUUUUGGUGAUAUUGCAUGUUAUGGUGAAUCAUGCAUCAUGGUGUAUGGACUUUGAUCCAGUUUUUGUAUGCUCUGGUCCUAUUGUCAUACCCUAAAUUU